UGCUUUCUGCAACAUAGGAUUCUGCCCUACUGCUCCAGGCAGAAAAUAACACAAGAGAUGGAGGCGAAUGGAGGGAGCCAAUCAGAAUCUGGGUGACAGUGGGGUAAGGUGUCACACUGAAAGGUACCUGCUCAUGCAUGGGGAGCUCACCCUCCUUGGAGAUUGCCCGGGCCUUCCUGCAGUCUCAUUGCCUUCAGUGGAAAAGACCCUUUAACAGCUUCCAUCACUUUGUUCUUGUUCUCCAAGAUCAUAGCUACGGUGGAAUGGACAUGCCUCGCUGGUUUCCAGCUUGCUGUUUGCAGCCACCAUGAAACUGCAGUCCCGCCACGCCACCCUGCCUUGGAUCCAACUGAGUAUAGACUAAGACCUCUAAAAACUGUAAGAAAUAAACUUUUCCUUUCCCAA